rnacentral:rRNA from 1 species
UGGGGAUGACGUCAAGUCCUCAUGGCCCUUAUGGUAGGGCUUCACACGUCAUACAAUGGUCGGUACAGAGGGUUGCCAACCCGCGAGGGGGAGCUAAUCCCACAAAGCCGAUCGUAGUCCGGAUCGCAGUCUGCAACUCGACUGCGUGAAGUCGGAAUCGCUAGUAAUCGUGGAUCAGCAUGUCACGGUGAAUACGUUCCCGGGUCUU